ensembl:lncRNA
AUAGAUACUAAUAAAAUAGAUACUAAUGAAUUAUCAUGUAGUGAUAAAAUGAUGGAGUUGAAGGAAAUUAUAACUAACAUGGAAAAAAAAAAAAUUAAAAAGAAUACAAACUUUAAUAUGAAUAAAAAUAAUGAUAAUAUAAAUUAUAAUAACAAUAAUAGUAUUAAUAAAAAAGAAGCUGUUAAAAUAAACUCUUAUAAAAGUAUAAACAAAAAUGUGAACAUAUGGCAGUUAUACAAUGAUGAUUUUAACAUUUCCACAAAAAGUGAUGAUUUUUUUAAAAAAAAUUCAAGUUCUGUUUAUUAUUCUGACUCAAAAGUAGUUAUAAUAAAAACGGGAUACAAAAAUAAGUUGUUUAUGAAUCAGACAGUACCAAAAAUGUUAAAAAAUAGAUAUAAAACAAAAAAUGAUUUAAAUAAAAAUAUAAAAAUUAAUAAUUUGUUUAAAACUUUUCCAAAAAAUAAAAAAAAAAUAACAGCGUUAAAAGUACAAUUAAUUAAAGAAAAGAAUAUUUACGGACAGUUUUAUAAAAUUUUACAGGCACUUUAUAUGAAAAAACAGAAUGAAGAAGAGACUCAAAAUGAAUCUAUAUUUGUGGCUGGUGGUGGUAGUGAUGAUGGUAGUGGUAUUGGUAGUAUUGGUGGUAGUGGUAUUGGUAGUAUUGGUGGUAGUGGUAUUGGUAGUAGUGACAAUAAAGCUAGCAAUAGUCAAGACACGAAUUAUGGAACCAAGAAAAAUAAACAAAAAUACUACAAUGAUACAUUAUAUGAUGUAAAAACAAAUGAAGAUAUUUUAUAUUAUGAAAGAAAAUUAAAAGAAUCAGCUGAUAUAAUAAAAAAAAUAAAAACUAAUUUGAAGAGUAUACAAAAUAUAGUUCAUUAUCAAGUAUUGGUUAAAACGUUAUUAAAAAAAUUAUAUUAUAAUUUAAAUAAAAGAAAAGAAAAUGAAAAAAAAAUAAAAUCAUUAAAAAGGUUUAUUUAUUCGGUAAAGUUAUUAAUUUCGGAUAACUAUUACCACUAUGGACAUUAUCCAAGUUAUAAACUAAAUAAUAAAAGUAUUGGCAAUAAUAAUAUAUUUUUUAGUAAUAUACUUAAUAAUUUCUCACGUCAUAAAAAUAGUUACGUUGGUAGUGAGUGUGACAGUUGUUGUGAUAGUAGCAGUAAUAAAAACUGUAAAAAGUGUAAAAACUCUAAAAACUGUUUGAAAAAAAAGAAUACCCAGUUUGAUAAUUACAAUAUAAACCAUUUUUAUUCUAAUCAAAUUGACAAUAUGUCUUCCAUAAAAACAGAAGAAAACAGUUCAUGUUUGAAAAAAAAAAGUAAUGAUAAAAAUAAAAACAACAUACAUGAACCUCUUCAAUUAUGUACUAUCAGUGCAUAUAAUAAUGUUGGUAAUAAAAAAAAUUUUAAAAAAAGUUCAUCUAAUUAUGAUCAAAGAAAUGCAUAUAAUUUUGAAAUGGCCUUAUCCGAAAUUAAUGGAAAGUGUAUAAGUAAUGAUUAUAGUAGAAGUGGUGAUAAUGACAAUAAAAUAUUUAGUGGCAAUAAUUUUAAAAAAAGAAGUUAUAAAAGCAGUUCAGUAGUAAAUACAUAUUUAGAUCAAUAUAAUAACAAAAAACGAUUAGUUUUAUUAAAAAGUAAUAACAGUAAUAGUAUAAAUGAUUUGGUAAGUAAUAAACACUCAAUAAAAUAUAGUAAAAAAUAUUUAGACGUUAUGUUGCAUAUGAACAGUUCAGGAAAAAAUAGCGCAUUUUAUGACAAAACUUAUAAUGUAAAAAAAAUAACAAAAUUGGAUAAAAAUUUUGAUCAUAUAAAAAAUAUGAAAAAUAUUAAAAAUAUAAAAAAUAUUAAAAAUAUAAAAAAUAUUAAAAAUAUUAAAAAUAUAAAAAAUAUGAAAAAUAUAAAAGAUAUAAAAAAUAUA